GACGAACGCUGGCGGCGUGCCUAAUACAUGCAAGUAGGACGCAGUUGCGAACGGGUGAGUAACGCGUAGGUAACUACCUAUUAGAGGGGGAUAACUAUUGGAAAAGAUAGCUAAUACCGCAUACUAGUAGAUGGAUCUUCGUUGUAUUAGCUAGUAGGUUGGGUAAUGGCCUACCUAGGCAACGAUACAUAGCCGACCGUGGGAGGUGGAUGGCCACAACGGGACGGGGUACCGGGCCAAGAUCCUACCGGAGGCAACCGGAGGGAAACUUCGGAAAUGGGGGGAAACCUGACCGAGCAACGCCGCGGUAGUUAAGAAGGGUUUCGGAUCGUAAAGCUCUGUUGUUAAGGAAGCGGUACUUAACCAGAAAGCGACGUCUAACUACGUGCCAGCAGCCGCGGUAAUUC
rnacentral:rRNA from 1 species